rnacentral:rRNA from 1 species
AUUGAACGCUGGCGGCAUGCUUUACACAUGCAAGUCGAACGGUAACAGGCCGCAAGGUGCUGACGAGUGGCGAACGGGUGAGUAAUGCAUCGGAACGUGCCUAGUCGUGGGGGAUAACUACUCGAAAGAGUAGCUAAUACCGCAUACGAUCUAUGGAUGAAAGCGGGGGACCGUAAGGCCUCGCGCGAUUGGAGCGGCCGAUGUCAGAUUAGGUAGUUGGUGGGGUAAAGGCUCACCAAGCCAACGAUCUGUAGCUGGUCUGAGAGGACGACCAGCCACACUGGGACUGAGACACGGCCCAGACUCCUACGGGAGGCAGCAGUGGGGAAUUUUGGACAAUGGGCGCAAGCCUGAUCCAGCAAUGCCGCGUGCAGGAAGAAGGCCUUCGGGUUGUAAACUGCUUUUGUACGGAACGAAACGGCUCUGGUUAAUACCCGGGGCUAAUGACGGUACCGUAAGAAUAAGCACCGGCUAACUACGUG